GACGAACGCUGGCGGCGUGCCUAAUACAUGCAAGUCGAACGGUCUUUUCUAUGGAAGCUUGCUUCCACUGAGAAGAUAGUGGCGAACGGGUGAGUAACACGUGGGUAACCUGCCCAUAAGAGGGGGAUAACAUCCGGAAACGGGUGCUAAUACCGCAUAGUUUUCUUGAUCGCAUGAUCGGGAAAGGAAAGACGGCCUUUGUGCUGUCGCUUAUGGAUGGACCCGCGGCGUAUUAGUUAGUUGGUGAGGUAACGGCUCACCAAGACGAUGAUCCGUAGCCGACCUGAGAGGGUGAUCGGCCACAGUGGGACUGAGGCACGGCCCAAACUCCUACGGGAGGCAGCAGUAGGGAAUCUUCCGCAAUGGACGAAAGUCUGACGGAGCAACGCCGCGUGAGUGAAGAAGGUUUUCGGAUCGUAAAACUCUGUUGUCAGAGAAGAACAAGAUGGGGAGUAACUGCUCCAGCCUUGACGGUAUCUGACCAGAAAGCCACGGCUAACUACGUGCCAGCCGCCGCCGUAACAC
rnacentral:rRNA from 1 species